ensembl:lncRNA
UGGAGUACCCUGUCCCUUAAUCUGAUUACUUUCAAUUACUUCUUGAUUACCUUUCUAAUUUCUGUUAGGAGACAUUAGAAAAAAUAAUUAGGAUGUCCCAAUAGUAUCAGCUGCUGCCUCCGGCUGAGAUAUACCGCAAAAGCAUGGGUUUGAAUGCAGCCUGCCAUUUUGCCAGUAAAACCAGUUUACCCUGUCCAAUAAACUAACAAAAAACAGUUUUUGAAAAUGAAAGACAUCUAUUCCAGGAUACAUUUUAGAAUUCUCAAGGCUAGCAAUUAAUAUGGAUAUUUCAUUUUAUGCAGGUUAGGUAAGAUUCCAACCAGUUUCUUUCUACUUGUAUAAUAUUUUUGGUCAAAAUCAGUCAGAUUUCUACUCAUUCCAAUUGACAAUCAAAAACGAAGGAGGUAUUAGCCUAUUCAGUGUCUGCCAUGGAGGACACACCUGCUACAAAUCUUUGUUGAGAUAUAAUGCGCUCAAGAAAACCAUGGUUAAAUCAGUUUAAAAUUCAGAUUAAACCGACCCUCACAUUCGUACCUUCAUUCAGGCUCACUUCCACAUUUAGGGACCGUGCAAGAAGAGUGAACCAGGGACUCAAUGUCUGCAGACAAUUAUCAGUGUUUCCCCUACAGACAUCAACGACACAAAAGGCUUGAUGCAUGAAAUGCUACAAAUGUGUUUUUAAUGUGUUGCAAUAACAUCCUCCCUGUACUGCGCUCUUGCUUGUCAACUUCAUUUUCUUAACAUUGUUUGACAAUACUUAAUUAGCAACUAGCUACUAAUAUUGUUUUUGUAACUUCACAGUAUUUUGUACAAUACAUUACCUGCGUCACUGAAUAUUUUUUCUGCAAAAUGUAUUCCUUGUACAUUACAGGUGGGUGUAAAAUUUGGUGUUUGGGUUUAUAACACAAUGCCUCCCCAAAGCUAAUGAGCACAAGUAGAUUAACAAUAAUAACAUUGAAUUAAAGCUGCAAGCAGCCUUUAGCCAAACUAUUAAGUGAGAGCUAAACGCAUUUCCACUCAACAGCUCUAACAUAAGAAUAUGUCCUUUUAAAACAAUAAAAGAGUGGAGACUUUAAGCCAUUUGCUGUCUGGUAUUACAGCAGUUGUAAUGUCAAAAUAUUUUAAUAAAAAGGGUUUGGAGAAUUUCCCUAUAAUUUAGGAUAGGUUGGUUAAACCUAUGUGUUUUUCAUGAGGUAGAUUAGGCCAUUACCGUAGGAAUGCUAAUACUGGGCACUGUAGCUAUGCUAAUAUAAUCCUGGUUACAGGAGUUGCUAUGGCAAGUUUGUUCCAAAACAGCCACAAAGGCACAGUUGUGAAUUCUGUUAAGAGGAAUGUUCACAUGGCAACACUCUACAACCUGGGCAGGAGUUUUUCUCCUUUACAAUUUAGUCAACCAGCCCUUCUCCCAGUGAAGAAGUUAAGUUAGCCUACAUAGGUAAAAUUGGAAUUUGGUGUGUCUUAUUAAAUGUGUACUUUUUGUUCAGACUAUCUGCAUUAAAUAUAGAUGAUAUUGUGUAAUAUGUUACAGUAAAAUAAUGAUGCGUUGUCCAAAAAGCUUACAUAUAAAAUUGUGGACAGUGAUAUUCAUUUAAUUAGCAAUACUCUGCUGCUACUAUUUAUUCAUUAUUACUGUUCACCAUAAUUCCUUUAAUUAUGUAAAUACUAAUACGUUUAUUACAUUAUUACAGGCGUAUCUCAAAUUUUGUAUAUUGUGGAAAAGGUCAUUGUGCUGCACCACCAGAACAAGAAUGACCGAUUAAAUACAUUUUUUUGUUUUUAGUUGAUUAGCUGUUUAGAGAUCUUGUCAGGUCGUAUAAAAAAUUAUUUGUUCUAAAAUUUUAAAUCAUUUGUACUGGAGUUUUGAUUUACAUGAGCUGUAAGCCCUUAUCAUCAAGAUUAAAACAAUAAAAGGCUUGAAAUAUUUGACUUUUUAUGUAAUGAAUGUAGAAUAUAUUAAAGAU